AAUAAACAAAAAAAUGCACAAAACAUGACGGAGGAGAAGAACGACCAAUUGCGGCAACAGCUCAUCGCGGCGGUAGUGAAAAAGCGCGCGGCAAUUGCGCGGGCUCAGGAAAUUGUGGUGAGGCUCCUGGAGCCCGACGUAGCAGAGCCGGAAUUCCUGGCCAUGCUCUGGGAAAUCGCACCCAACCACUAUACCGACAUUGUGGAUGAGCGCGAAAUCAGCCGAAACUGUGGGUACCCUCUCUGCUCCAAUGUCUUGCAGAAUGUACCCAACCAGAAGUACCAAAUCAGUGCAUCGCAAAACAAGGUCUACGAUAUCACAGAGCGCAAGAAAUUCUGCUCCGGCUAUUGUUUCCGCGCUUCUGAGUACAUUAAGGCCCAGGUGCCGACGUCGCCGCUGUGGCUGCGCGACAGGGAGUUGCGGCCGAGCUUUCAGCUGCUGCUGCGAGACAAAUGAAAAGUGUUUACAUUUGCUCAAUUUAUUACAUGGCGACUGCAGUAACUACAUAUUUGCUACAUAAUAGAAGGAAUAAGAAGGUGUGGACAGCAGGCAACGCGGCCCAAAAAAUUCAACGCAUGCAAGUUAAAAUCCACCCCUUUUGCCUAAUAUACCUUGGAGACAAAAAGGCGAUUCAAAAUUACGACUCAUAUGUUCGUUGCAGCAUUUUUAAAACGUAAACACCCUUUUAUGUGCAACUUAAGUUAAACCGCGGAAAAUGAAACACAGAGGAGGCAAAAGAGGAGCCACACAAACAAACAAAACAAAACAAAGUAAAACAAAGCAAACCAAAACAAAUAAAAAAGAGCAAUUAAAUCUUUCCAUUAAUUAUGGAACAUUCAUCAACAUUUUUGUUGUGUUUGUUCCAUCUUCAAAACGAAAAGGUCGCCGACUGUUUCCAGCUGCUGUCAUCAGAGGCACAACGCCGACUGGGAAAGUCUACAACUAAAUAUACAACAAAUUCCACCAGAAGACCAACAGCUACAAGCAAAGCGAGCCACAAGAUACAGCAUCCACGACAGCAGCAACCUCAGCUUCAACUCUACAACAAAAUUGCUGGCUAAAAAUUAAAAAACCCGAACGAAACAACGAUACUAAACUGAACUCAAGAAGGAUAUAAAAAGGAAAGGAUCAUUAUCAACAAGAAAGAACAACAACAACUGCUACCUAAGGUUUCUCAAGCUCCAAAAACAAACAACAAAUAAAUAAAAUACCAUAAAACAAAGAGAGAAAAAUAAAACAAGUGCAAAUUAUGUAAAUUAUAGCAAAAGCAAAUACGCUAAGGGAAAAGGAAGAGAAGCAAAAGCAAAAGCAAACGAAAGAGAAUUAGUCAAAUAGAAGCGGCAGCAAACAGAGGGAGAGAAAUAUUCACAAAAAGAUCUGUGACCAGGCAAACCGGAAAUUAAAUCUGCAACGUUUCUGCCCCGAAAAGACCAGGAGACCCGAGACCCGAGACCCGAGACCUCAGAGUCCAGAGCCCAGACCCCGAAAAGGAAGAGGAAGCCGCAGCAGCCGCAACCGCAGCAAAAUCCGAGUCGAGCAAACGGAACACGCGUGCCAAAUAUUUGCUCAAAAAUAGGAGAAUAAAAUAAUAAUCAAAGCACCGGAGAGGAGAGUAUCCCAGCGAAUUGAGAGAUUUAUUCGGCGGGAGAGCGGGCAAAUAGGGGGACACGUUUCAUGAGCGCUGCAGCAGGCUCCGAGAGCAGGGAAAGGCCACGGACCGCCUUCACCGGAGGCCAUUGUUGACACUCGCUCUGAACUCUGACCCUCCGCCGUUGGUGCGUCUCGUCUCCGGUCCAAGCUCCAGCUCUUUGUCUUCAGCUUCUGCUCCCGCUACCGCUUUUGUGCUAAUCAUCGCGGACACAGCGAGCGACGACUGCCUGAAAGGAGGUGACGGAGGAGAAACCCUGGCCAACUAUUUAA